UGUGCUUCAUAGCUUUUGAAUCAUUUAAACGCUCUCAUUUAAUCUCCAAAUUAUAUUUUUCUUAAAGUCAAGAUAACUCAAACAACACAUUCAAGUAUGAUGUAGCUAAAAGACAUAAAACAAGGUAUUGGGCAUGGAUUGCCUGGCUGUCAAGGAAAUCCUGUCAUUCUGGAAGGUCCAAGUUUGACCUAAGAUCAGAGACACCAAGAUCUCCAUGCUGGAAGUUACUAGAUUUUUACCCCGUGUGCCUUUUCUGUUCACUUUUCCGUGUGUGUACGUGGGGUGGGGGUGCACAUGCUUCAUGUUGGGAAGCCAGAGCAGUGUCUUCCCCUCUCUCUUUUGGCCUUAGUCCCCUGAGACAGGGUCCCUUCCUGAACCUGAAACUUGAGGGUUCUGCAACCAGGCUCUCUGGAUCCACCCAUCAACUCCGGGGUUACAGGCACCCACAGCCAUACCUGGCUUUUACAUAGGUGCUGGGACUAAAGGUGUGUACCACCACACCUGGCAAGGCUAUUCAGUCUUAUGAAACACACCAUGUGGCCCAUGACUGUCUGUACACACAAAUGCGCACACACACUGUAAAAACAGUACAAAGUCAUUUUUCAUAAACAUCUUUGAAUGCCUGCAUAUUUUGGAAUGAUUCUCAAGAAAAUAUUGAAGGUGGCUACCUCUGGAGGUGCCAUGAGACGGAAGGCUGGAGUGGGGCCUAUCACAUACCAUCAUGCCAUUGUAACGACUGAGUAGUAAUCCUCCUAUGGAUUACACGUUACGCACCAGUCUCUACUAGUGUAUGAGUCUGGGUCUUGUUCGUGUUCGAUUCGUACAAUCUCCUGAGGGAAGAUCUGAAGUGAGAGUCUGCUGUGUUUAAGGCUCUCCGGUCGGAUUCUCUGUCCAAGAGCCCGUGGUGGUUAAUCAUUAGCCCGUGUGAACCCCUAAUGGCACUGGGAACUAUUCAUUGCCCCUUACAAGAAGUGAGAACAAAUGCUGUCAUAGCCUAGGAGUAGGUGACCAGAUGUGAAAAAAUUAAAAACAUUAUCAUCUCUAUA